CCUCUUUUCAGGAUCCUGCUCCUGUGAAAAUACCUGCAGAUGCUCCAACUGUCAAUGUGCCACCAGCAAAGCUGGACGCUGCCAGAAAAGUUGCUGCUCUUGCUGUCCUGCAGCAUGCACCAACUGUGCCAAUGGCUGUGUGUGUAAAGGGAAAACCUCUGAGAAAUGUACCUGCUGCUCCUGAACAACACGCUCUUCAGACACAAUCUCUGAAAGAUUGUCCAUUUGUACUUUAUUCCCAAAGCUGUAUGUCCUCACUAUGUAGAUCCAGAGUUUUAUUUCGGUAUAAACUGAUGAAUUGCAUGUGAAUUGAUUUUGUAAAUUUGUGUUUUGUAUCAGUUACUAAAAUAAAUUCUUCUAUUUGUUUCAUAACUGCAA